rnacentral:rRNA from 1 species
UACGGGGGGGGCAAGCGUUGUUCGGAAUCACUGGGCUUAAAGGGCGCGUAGGCGGGCUCGCAAGUCUGUGGGGAAAUCCUCCAGCCCAACUGGAGAACUGCCGUGGAUACUGCGAGUCUCGAGGGAGGUAGGGGCGUGCGGAACAGAUGGUGGAGCGGUGAAAUGCGUUGAUAUCAUCUGGAACUCCGGUGGCGAAGGCGGCACGCUGGACCUCAUCUGACGCUGAGGCACGAAAGCGUGGGGAGCAAACAGG